GACGAACGCUGGCGGCGUGCUAAACACAUGCAAGUCGAGCGAUGAAGUUCCUUCGGGAACGGAUUAGCGGCGGACGGGUGAGUAACACGUGGGUAACCUGUCUCAUAGAGGGGAAUAGCCUUCCGAAAGGAAGAUUAAUACCGCAUAAGAUUGUAGUUUCGCAUGAAACAGCAAUUAAAGGAGUAAUCCGCUAUGAGAUGGACCCGCGUCGCAUUAGCUAGUUGGUGAGGUAACGGCUCACCAAGGCGACGAUGCGUAGCCGACCUGAGAGGGUGAUCGGCCACAUUGGGACUGAGACACGGCCCAGACUCCUACGGGAGGCAGCAGUGGGGAAUAUUGCACAAUGGGGGAAACCCUGAUGCAGCAACGCCGCGUGAGUGAUGACGGUCUUCGGAUUGUAAGGCUCUGUCUUCAGGGACGAUAAUGACGGUACCUGAGGAGGAAGCCACGGCUAACUACGUGCCAGCAGCCGCCGUAACAC
rnacentral:rRNA from 1 species